rnacentral:rRNA from 1 species
UGCUAUCGUUAGACUGAUUUAUCAGAUCUCAGUAGCAAAGCAAAUGUAGGCCUGGUCAGUACCAGGGUGGGAGACCUCCAGGGAAAAUCAGGUUAGCGU